rnacentral:rRNA from 1 species
UGCAAGUCGAACGAAGAUGUCUUCGGACAUCUUAGUGGCGAACGGGUGAGUAAUACGUAAGCAACCUGCCCACAAGGACCGGGAUAACUGCUGGAAACGGUAGCUAAGACCGGAUAGGUAUACUGAAGGCAUCUUUGGUAUAUUAAAGGUUAGAAACACAAGUGGAUGGGCUUACGGCGCAUUAGCUAGUUGGUGAGGUAACGGCCCACCAAGGCGAUGAUGCGUAGCCGGCCUGAGAGGGUGAACGGCCACAUUGGGACUGAGACACGGCCCAGACUCCUACGGGAGGCAGCAGUAGGGAAUUUUCGGCAAUGGGCGCAAGCCUGACCGAGCAACGCCGCGUGAGUGAAGACGGCCUUCGGGUUGUAAAGCUCUGUUGUAAGGGAAGAACGGUCAUAUGAGAAAUGUGACAUGACGGUACCUUACCAGAAAGCCACGGCUAACUACGUGCCAGCAGCCGCGGUAAUACGUAGGUGGCAAGCGUUAUCCGGAAUUAUUGGGCGUAAAGGGUGCGCAGGCGGUUUGUUAAGUUUAUGGUGAAAGCGUUGGGCUCAACCCAAUACAGCCAUAGAUACUGGCAAACUAGAGUGCAGAAGAGGGUAGUGGAAUUCCAUGUGUAGCGGUAAAAUGCGUAGAUAUAUGGAGGAACACCAGUGGCGAAGGCGGCUACCUGGUCUGUAACUGACGCUCAGGCACGAAAGCGUGGGGAGCAAAUAGGAUUAGAUACCCUAGUAGUCCACGCCGUAAACGAUGGAUGCUAAGUGUUGGGGGAACUCAGUGCUGCAGUUAACGCAAUAAGCAUCCCGC